CCAACGGCUCUUUUAAGAGCCACCCCAAUAUUCUUAAAAGGGGCCG
rfam:Calypte anna contig3943, whole genome shotgun sequence.